UCUUGCCACAGACUAGGUGCUGCUGACUCAGGGUCUGUUCAAUUCAAAGGCAGCUUCCUAGCAGAGAUGCUGGAGGCUUCCUAGGUAGAAGCACCAGGAUGGAAAGAAGACCCUGAGCAGGUGCUCAGCAGGAGCUGCACAGACAUCCAUCACCAACUGGGACUUCAGUCAUAAAUCAGAGGCUAAACAGAAACAUGGGUAAUGGUUCACGACAGCCAGAGGCAAGUUCCCGGCUCCUUGGCUUCUUCCCUCCCCAGACACAGAUUCUACUCAGUCAGCAUCAGGGAAGGAGCUUACACUGAUGAUCUGACACUCAUACCUCCCCAUCUAUUUCCUGAGUUUGUUGGCUCUAUGUCACGUCACCUUAUGAUGCAGGUUCAUAGGCAUAUGGAGAGUUUCAACAAGGCAGAAAUAGAAAAGGGCUCCAGAAUAUGACACAGAAACUUCCUCUUCCCUUUCUUGCCACGUGUCCAUGGAUCUACAUCAGAAAGGUCAUCAGAGACCAUCUAGCCUCUCCCCCUAUUUAAUAAAUGAGAAAACUGAGCCUCAGACGGGACUUGUAUUUCAUCACUAGGGAAUAUCUAAGGCAGGAUGUAGACUUACAGACUACUAACCAGCCAUCUGCCCUCUCCUCCACUUUGCUCCUUCGAUCCAGGAAGCUGAGCCAUAGCCUAGUCACCAGUUCAAGAAACCGAGACCAAGCAGAAAGGGGAUCAGCAGAUUCUCUAAAGGGAAGACAGACAAUAGUCUGGAUCUUUCCUUUUCAUGGAAAUCAGUCAUCUUGAAACCGGCAACUUUUUUCCAACCAAUUAUGGACUUCAGUCAUCUGAAACAGCAGCAGUAGCUUAAAAGGCAACUGAACUGUGGCUGUGAGUCAGAGAUUCUAAUCACAAGUGGGUCUCAGUCCAAACUCGAGAGGCCUUUCUGGCCUUGGUGGAAUGCUGCAGAAAUGCCUUCCCCUUCUGGGUAUCCCCCUGAGAGAUGGUACUCUCACUCUCGGAUUUGCUCACUUCCCCCGGGUCAGUUCCAGGAGCCUCUGCUCACACUUAGAAUGCAGACCUUCCUGCAUCAGGAAGAUCCCCAGCUGCUGUGAGGUCAGCCAUUUGGUUUGGUUCCCAGAUCAGCUCGUGGUCCUCCUGGUUUCUGUGGCAGCUUAAACAGAAGGAUGGCUAAGAAAAGAAUCAUGAUGGGCAGCAAGUGGGCACGGCCAAGGUGUUGGAGCAGAUUAAUGAGAGACAAGAUGUCACCUUGUCAUCCACUCACAGGAGCACAGACUCAGGAUGACAAAAUCAGGACCCUUAGAGACUAGGACACCUAAUCUCCCCAUUUUAUAGGUGCACAAACUGAGGCUUAGAGAAAUUGAGAUCUCCCUAAAGUAAUGCAGAUGGUAAAUGGUUAAAUCAGAAUCUGAAGCCAGAUCUUUAAGCCCUAAACUUAGCAACCUUUCCCACAUUCUUCGGUGCCUCCUUCUGUCUUUAUUGGAACUCUUCCUCAGGUACAGCUGGACACAUCAGAGAGAGGGCUGGACAGCAGUCUGCUGAGUCUCCCUCCUGUCAGCUGUCUGGUUCUUGGCCAAUAAUUUCAAUCUCUUCUGUAAAAUGGGGGUAAUAACGCUGCCUCUCCCUCCUGUCAGUUGUCUGGUCCUUGGCCAGUAAUUUCAAUUUCAUCUAUAAAAUGGCAGUAAUAAUGCUGCCUCUCCCUCCUGUCAGUUGUCUAGUCCUUGGUUUCAAUCUCAUCUGUGAAAUGGGGAUAAUAAUGUACUUCUCACCCAUGACUAUUAAAAGGAUAAAAGGAGGAAGUAUCUAUAAAGUGCUUGAAUGCUUUAAGGUAAUAUUUAAACGUCAUUUUUUAUUAUUAGUUUAUUCCAGGCA